GCACACACACACACACACACACACACACAGACAGUGUGUCUGUGUUUCUCUGCGUGUGUGUGUGUGUGUGA